GUGGGGAAUUUUGGACAAUGGGCGCAAGCCUGAUCCAGCGACGCCGCGUGGAGGACGAAGGCCUUCGGGUUGUAAACUCCUUUUGGAGGGGAAGAAUAAAUUGACGGUACCCUCAGAAAAAGCCACGGCUAACUACGUGCCAGCAGCCGCGGUAAUACGUAGGUGGCGAGCGUUACUCGGAAUUACUAGGCGUAAAGCGUAUGUAGGUGGUUAGAUAAGUCUAUGGUGAAAUUUCCUGGCUUAACUGGGAAGGGACAUAGAUACUAUCUGGCUUGAGUGUGGGAGGGGGAGACGGAAUUCCUGGUGUAGCGGUGAAAUGCGUAGAUAUCAGGAGGAACACCGAUGGCGAAAGCAGUCUCCUGGCCCAAUACUGACACUGAGGUACGAAAGCUAGGGUAGCAAACAGGAUUAGAAACCCGUGUAGUCC
rnacentral:rRNA from 1 species